rnacentral:lncRNA from 1 species
UACGAAGGUCGUAAUGGCCCUUACGGCCUGAAUCUGACGCAGUUGGGUCGAUGUGGUAUGCAUUGACAACACUUGUGUAGGCGUACGAUUGGCAAGUGAUAGUUGCUUUUCGUUCGUGUUUCUUCUCACGUGUGAAAGCGGCGUAGAAGUCAAAACAGUCGUCGUCAACCGGCGCUACGUAGAAGCAGGUUAUUAGCGGCUCAUGCAUGCAGUUAUCGCAGCAAGAUAACAGCAAAUGUGGAGAGUGCUCUUCAUCUCUGACAUCCUGAAGCCUCAAUUGGUCUGCUACAGAAAUGCUUUGCCAUCACUUCUACCAUUGUGCAAACUCAUCACAAGUGCCAUGUCUUCAUCAUAGAGAAGGGAACCGAAGAGAAGGCAAUCAUUGGCGAGAAUACGAUGCGUGCGUCGGCCAUGGAUAGCGGCGAUGCGAACUUUUGGGAAUGUUCAUCGAGACAGUUGCGUCUGGCUAGGUCGCAGUAGUGGCAUACAAUCGGUUUAGGAUUCUCGGUCGUCUCCAUGUCGGAAACUUCCGGUUCCCGAAGGUCGCCGUACGUUUCGAGACCAGUGCUUGGAUCGCAAAGCUGCCCGGGACACUCGAGAGAGGGCAAAACUGCCAUCGAUUACACCAAGGUUGCCAUCGAGGUGAGUCACUUGGCCCCGACAACCUACAAUACCUACAGGACGGAAAAGAAGCGAAGGUCGAGUACAACAUUGGUAAAGAGCCUGAAGACAAAAAAUUGUCAACAGUGCCAUUUGACACUCGGCAGCCGUAUCUUGCAUUGCUCCCAGGUUUCACCGUGGAAUACGUAUGAAUCUUGGUGACAAGUUUGCAUAAGGUCAGCCAUGCCUGCUACAUUUGAAAGGAUGUUUUACGUGACCCUGAAGUCUACAAUGCUAUGUUAUCACCUGGAGCUGGCUGAAAGAAUGU